GUUUGAUCCUGGCUCAGAUUGAACGCUGGCGGCAUGGCUAAAACAUGCAAGUCGAACGUGCCCGCAAGGGCAAGUGGCGAAAAGGGUCAGUAACGCGAUCGAAUGUACCUAUGGGUUGAGGAUAGCCGUGGGAAACUGCGGGUAAUACUCGAUGAUGUCUCCGGACCAAAGAUUUAUCGCCCUAAGAGCAGCGAUCGUCCUAUCAGGUAGUUGGCGGGGUAAAGGCCCACCAAGCCUAAGACGGGUAGCAGGUGUGAGAGCACGACCUGCGACAUCGGGACUGAGACACUGCCCGGACUCCUACGGGAGGCUGCAGUAACGAAUCUUCCGCAAUGGGCGCAAGCCUGACGGAGCAAUGCCGCGUGUGGGAUGAAGCGGCUACGCCGUGUAAACCACUGUCAGGGACUAGAACCAAUGAUCAGUCCCAAGGAAGAGCCGGCUAACCCUGUGCCAGCAGCCGCGGUAACUACAGGGGGCUCGAGCGUAUCGGAUCACU
rnacentral:rRNA from 1 species